UUUCGCCAAAAUUUCGACUUUUCCUUAGGAGAAUAUGACAUGCAAAGAGGUGGCACUACAGAUUCUUGGCUGAAAUAAUUCUUAGAAAAAUUUUCGCCAAAAUUUCGACUUUUCCUUAGGAGAAUAUGAUAGGCAAAGAGGUGGCACUAAAAAUUUUUAACAGAGACCGAAUUCUUAAAGUUUCUUGUCCAAAAUUUCGACUUUUCAUUAGGAGAAUAUGAUAUGUAAAGAGGUGGCACUAAAAAUUUUUAACAAAGGCUGAAUUCUUAAAGUUUCUCGCUCAAAUUUCCGACUUUGAACAGGAGAAUAUGAUAGGCAAAGAGGUGGCACUAAAAAUUUUUAACAGAGGCUGAAUUCUUAAAGUGUCUCGUCCACAUUUCCGACUUUUGAACAGGAGAAUAUGAUAGGCAAAGAGGUGGCACUAUAGAUUCUUUGCAGAAAUAAUUCUUAGAAAAAUUUUCGUCAAAAUUUCGACUUUUCAUUAGGAGAAUAUGAUAGGCAAAGAGGUGGCAUUAUAGAUUCUUUGCAGAAAUAAUUCUUAGAAAAAUUUUCGUCAAAAUUUCGACUUUUCAUUAGGAGAAUAUGAUAUGCAAAGAGGUGGCACUAUAAAUUCUUGGCAGAAACAAUUUUUAAAAAGUUUUUGGCUAAAAUUUAGACUUUUCAUUAGGAGAAUAUGAUAGGCAAAGAGGUGGCACAAUAAAUUCUUAGAGAAAUGUGGCAGAAAUAAUUCUUAGAAAAAUUUUCGCCAAAAUUUCGACUUUUCAUUAGGAGAAUAUGAUAGGCAAAGAGGUGGCACAAUAAAUUCUUGGCAGAAAUAAUUC